rnacentral:tRNA from 1 species
GGUGCCAUAGCCCAGUCGGUAGAGCAAAGGACUGAAAAUCCUUGUGUCCCCGGUUCGAUUCCUGGUGGCACCA